CAGAGCACAGCUGAGCAAGGCACCUGAAGAAGGACCGUCUUCAAAUCAGCUUCCCUCCUGAGGGCUUGUGCCCAGAGCUCCAUACUGCUGCUAUCCCACAAAACCUCGAACAGGCCCAGGGCAGUGAAAGUGCCUGUAUGCCCCAGAUUUCCCAGUUCUCAUUCUCACUCCUGCUGUCACCCUCAGACAGCAAAAGCACUGACAGAACAGCUGGCUGGACAGCUCCACUUGGACAGAGGGCCCUCCUCAAUGGCAGACAGGAGAGCUCUUGCAGGGACGUCUCAUCAGAAUUCAGAGAGGUUGCCUUUGCUGCUUGUUCCAGGAAGAUCUCAGCCGCGUUAUUGCAGAGUCAGCUCGUAAAGUAUGCAUGAACUCGCUCCAAACUGGUGUUCUCACCCAGGAACUAAACCACUUCAC